rnacentral:rRNA from 1 species
UACGAAGGGGGCUAGCGUUGUUCGGAAUUACUGGGCGUAAAGCGCACGUAGGCGGUUUUUUAAGUCAGAGGUGAAAGCCCGGAGCUCAACUCCGGAAUUGCCUUUGAGACUGGGAGACUUGAAUCCAGGAGAGGUGAGUGGAAUUCCGAGUGUAGAGGUGAAAUUCGUAGAUAUUCGGAAGAACACCAGUGGCGAAGGCGGCUCACUGGACUGGUAUUGACGCUGAGGUGCGAAAGCGUGGGGAGCAAACGGG